rnacentral:rRNA from 1 species
UACGUAGGGUGCGAGCGUCGUCCGGAAUUACUGGGCGUAAAGAGCUCGUAGGUGGUUUGUCGCGUUGUUCGUGAAAACUCACAGCUUAACUGUGGGCGUGCGGGCGAUACGGGCAGACUGGAGUACUGCAGGGGAGACUGGAAUUCCUGGUGUAGCGGUGGAAUGCGCAGAUAUCAGGAGGAACACCGGUGGCGAAGGCGGGUCUCUGGGCAGUAACUGACGCUGAGGAGCGAAAGCGUGGGGAGCGAACAGG